GUCUAUGGCCAUACCUCCAUGAAUGUGCCCAAUCUCAUCUGAUCUCAGAAGCUAAGCAGGGUCAGGCCUGGUUAGUACUUGGAUCAGUGUCUUUUGCUUUUAAUGGUAGAAAAUAUAAAAA
rnacentral:rRNA from 1 species